UUUUCUUCAGUCAGAGCCGUUAUGGUCCAGCUAAUUCAUUCCAUUUCACUUCAAAAUUGUUCUAUUCUCACUUUUAAAAAUAGGAUUUUUCCCUCCAUAAAAUAUGUAGCUUAAGGUUAUUAACCACCUACACAGUCUCAAAUCCUCCUUACUUCCUUAGGGCAUAGAUCCUAACUCUUUCUUCUCUUGUCCUCUCGCCUCCCCUCCCCUCCUUUCCUCUGAGACAGGGUCUCCUAACUCUUCUCUUGUAUGUUACUCUUCUUUUGUAUGUCUUCUCUUCUCUUCUCUUCUCUUCUCUUCUCUCUUUCUCUUCUCCUCUCUUCUCUUUUCUUUUCUGAGACAGGGUCUCACUCUGUUGCCCAGGCUAGAGUACUGUGGCUCAAUCAUGGCUCACUGCAGCCUCCAACUCCUGAGUUCAAGUGAUCCUUCUGCCUCAGCCUCGCAAGUAGCUGGGACUAAAGGCAUGUGCCACCAUGCCUGGCUAAUUUUUCUUUUUAACUUUGUUGUAGAGAUGAGUUCUCACUAUGUUGCCUAGGCUGGCCUCGAACUCUUGGCUUCAAGCUAUCCUCCUGCCUCUGCCUCCCAAAUUGUUGGGAUUACAUACAGCCAUGAGCCAUUGUGCCUGGCUUCUACUUUGAACAAUCAGAAAAUAGGCCGGGUGUAAUGACUCAUACCUGUAAUCCCAGCACUUUGGGAGGCCAAGGCAGGCAGAUCACUGAAGCUCAGGAGUUCAAGACCAGCCUGGACAACAUGGAGAAACUCCGUCUCUACAAAAAAAAUACAAAAAUUAGCCAGGCGCAAUGGUGCGCCUGUGGUCCCAGUUACUUGGGAGGCUGAGGCAGGAGAAUCGCUUGAGCCUGGGAGGCGGAGGUUGUAGUGAGCCAAGAUUGUACCACUGCACUCCAGCCUGGGCGACAGAGCAAGGCCCUGUCUCUAAAUAAAUAAAUAAAU
rnacentral:lncRNA from 10 species